rnacentral:piRNA from 1 species
GAAUCAAGCCCAGUUUAAUGGUGAGGUU